AGUCUCUCUCCCAGGAGGUUCUGGCUCCUGUUUUGCAGCCUCCUGAGAGAGCCUUGAUUUUCGGGAUGCCAGAUGGAGCUGCCACGAAGCGUCGCGGAGCUGCUGUCCCUCGCCCGAGUCGCUGCUCUCCGCAGGCUGGGUCUGGGCUGAGAGACGGGCCCGCGGGGCUCUGCAGAGCGGUGCUCUGUGAACUGGGGAUGAACCACGUUCCUGGGAGGAGAGCAGAUCUGACAAGCGCUGAGCAGGGAGGCGCGUGCUGAGCUAGCCGGCGUCAGAGCCGGGAGCCGAGAUGCACAGAGAUGCUGGGAGAUGAAAACACAGAAUCGUAGGAAAUUCAGCGUGGGAAGGACCUCAGGAGGUGACAUCUAGUCCAACCCCUGCUCCAAGCAGGACCAGCCCCAACUACAUCAUCCCAGCCAAGGCUUUGUCUACCUGGGUCUUCAAAACUCCCAAGGGUGGAGACCCCACAACCGCUCUGGGGAGCCCGUCCCACUGCUUCACCACCCUCCUAAUGAGAAAGUCUUAUUUUCUAGACCCAGUAACCCUGGUUCUUCCAAGCUUUCCUUGAACAUCCUGUUUCCUAGACCUCUCCUUUGUCUUGUUCUCCGUUGGACUCCUUGCAAUCGGUCCACAGCUUUCUGGAAGCACCGUGCCCAGAGCCAGGUGGGGAGUCUUAAAGACCUCCAGUGACUCACUUCAUCCAAAGGCAUUGGGGUUGCCCCAAAAGCUAAUUACCCCCGCUGCUAAAAAAAGGUCCACCUUAUUCUA